rnacentral:rRNA from 1 species
GACGAACGCUGGCGGCGUGCCUAACACAUGCAAGUCGAACGGAGAUUGCAUUUAUGCAGUCUUAGUGGCGAACGGGUGAGUAACGCGUAGACAACCUACCUUCUAGCUGGGGACAACACUGCGAAAGUGGUGCUAAUACCGAAUGUUGUAUUUUGAAUGCAUAUUUAAGAUACUAAAGGUGGCCUCUAUUUAUAAGCUAUCACUAGAAGAUGGGUCUGCGUCUGAUUAGCUAGUUGGUGAGGUAAUGGCUCACCAAGGCGACGAUCAGUAGCCGGUCUGAGAGGAUGAACGGCCACACUGGGACUGAGACACGGCCCAGACUCCUACGGGAGGCAGCAGUGGGGAAUCUUCCGCAAUGGACGAAAGUCUGACGGAGCAACGCCGCGUGAGUGAAGAAGGUUUUCGGAUCGUAAAACUCUGUUUUCAGGGACGAAUGUGCUAUUUGCUAAUACCAAGUAGUAAUGACGGUACCUGAGUAGAAAGCCACGGCUAACUACGUGCCAGCCGCCGCAGUAACAC